rnacentral:tRNA from 1 species
GUCGGAGUAGCUCAGUUGGUAGAGCGGUAGCUUGAAAAGUUACGCGUCGCAGGUUCGAUUCCUGUCUCCGAUA